UACGUAGGGUGCGAGCGUUGUCCGGAAUUACUGGGCGUAAAGAGCUCGUAGGUGGUUUGUCGCGUUGUUCGUGAAAACUCACAGCUUAACUGUGGGCGUGCGGGCGAUACGGGCAGACUGGAGUACUGCAGGGGAGACUGGAAUUCCUGGUGUAGCGGUGGAAUGCGCAGAUAUCAGGAGGAACACCGGUGGCGAAGGCGGGUCUCUGGGCAGUAACUGACGCUGAGGAGCGAAAGCGUAGGGAGCGAACAGG
rnacentral:rRNA from 1 species